CCUACGGGAGGCAGCAGUGAGGAAUAUUGGUCAAUGGACGAGAGUCUGAACCAGCCAAGUAGCGUGAAGGAUGACUGCCCUAUGGGUUGUAAACUUCUUUUAUAUGGGAAUAAAAUGUUCCACGUGUGGGAUUUUGUAUGUACCAUAUGAAUAAGGAUCGGCUAACUCCGUGCCAGCAGCCGCGGUAAUACGGAGGAUCCGAGCGUUAUCCGGAUUUAUUGGGUUUAAAGGGAGCGUAGGUGGAUUGUUAAGUCAGUUGUGAAAGUUUGCGGCUCAACCGUAAAAUUGCAGUUGAAACUGGCAGUCGUGAGUACAGUAGAGGUGGGCGGAAUUCGUGGUGUAGCGGUGAAAUGCUUAGAUAUCACGAAGAACUCCGAUUGCGAAGGCAGCUCACUGGACUGCAACUGACACUGAGGCUCGAAAGUGUGGGUAUCAAACAGGAGUAGAUACCCCUGUAGUC
rnacentral:rRNA from 1 species